GGAGGAGAAGCACCGGCUGGAGGUCCGCCGGCAGGAGCAGGCGGCGCGCUCUUCACGCAUCAUCUACGCAUUGCAACAGCAGGUGAAAGAAAUCCAAGCGGAUUUGGAGAAGCUGCGAUCGCAGAGCGUAGGACACAUAAAAAAGUCAAGGGCAGUGGACAGGUUGGCCGCUGCCCAUCGAGGGGCAGUCCGAGCCAUGCAAGUGUUCAUCAACCAACUGUCGGACCCGGCGGAGAGCAGAGUGCCUGCCCAGUGUCAGGAGCUGGGC
ensembl:lncRNA